rnacentral:rRNA from 1 species
CGUACGGGUGAGUAACACGUCAGGUGAUCUACUAUUAGUUUGGAAUAACCUGCCGAAAGGCGGGCUAAUACUGAAUAGAGCAAUGGUCUUGUAAAGAGACAGUUGGGAAAGGCGGCAUGUAAGUGCUGUCGCUAGUAGAUGAGCCUGCGUCCCAUUAGCUAGUUGGUGAGGUAAGAGCUCACCAAGGCGAUGAUGGGUAGCUGGUCUGAGAGGAUGAUCAGCACACUGGAACUGAAACACGGUCCAGACUCCUACGGGAGGCAGCAGUGGGGAAUCUUGCGCAAUGGACGAAAGUCUGACGCAGCAACGCCGCGUGAGUGAAGAAGGCCUUCGGGUUGUAAAGCUCUGUCAGAGGGGGCGAAAACUAUGCGUGCUAAUACCACGAAUAAUUGACGGGUAACCCUGUGAGGGAAAGCACCGGCUAACUCCCGGUGCCUUAGCCAGCCGCGGUCAAUAACGGGAAGGGUGCAAGCCGUGCUCCGGCAAUCAUUCGGGGCCGCUAAACACGGGGCACGGGUCACGGUCGGCCCUCAANCCAGCCAUAGGUCGAAACCCUCGGGCUCAAACCCAAGAGAAACGUCGGCCUUGGCGAAAACACCG